UACAGAGGUCUCAAGCGUUGUUCGGAUUCAUUGGGCGUAAAGGGUGCGUAGGCGGCGCGGUAAGUCGGGUGUGAAAUCUUGGAGCUUAACUCCGAAACUGCAUUCGAUACUGCCGUGCUCGAAGACAGGAGAGGGAAGUGGAAUUCCCGGUGUAGUGGUGAAAUGCGUAGAUAUCGGGAGGAACACCAGUGGCGAAGGCGACUUUCUGGCCUGUUCUUGACGCUGAGGCGCGAAAGCUAGGGGAGCAAACGGG
rnacentral:rRNA from 1 species